GUGAAAUGCUUUAAGCACAUAUUAUUCCAAUUCUCAAACAAAAUAAAAACCUGGAAAAGAUUGUAAACUAUAUUUAGCUACUAGAUUAAAUAUGAUUAUGCCAUCAAUAAUACAUCAUGACCAAGUCGGUUUUAUGAGCAGUAAAUCCUUAGUGUUUAAUGUUACAAGGGUUAUAGAUGUGAUUGAUUCGGCCUUUCACGCAGGGACGCCACUCCUG